rnacentral:rRNA from 1 species
GACGAACGCUGGCGGCGUGCUUAACACAUGCAAGUCGAACGGAAAGGCCCUGCUUUUGUGGGGUGCUCGAGUGGCGAACGGGUGAGUAACACGUGAGUAACCUGCCCUUGACUUUGGGAUAACUUCAGGAAACUGGGGCUAAUACCGGAUAGGAGCUCCUGCUGCAUGGUGGGGGUUGGAAAGUUUCGGCGGUUGGGGAUGGACUCGCGGCUUAUCAGCUUGUUGGUGGGGUAGUGGCUUACCAAGGCUUUGACGGGUAGCCGGCCUGAGAGGGUGACCGGCCACAUUGGGACUGCGAUACGGCCCAGACGCCUACGGGAGGCAGCAGUGGGGAAUAUUGCACAACGGGCGGAAGCCUGAUGCAGCAACGGCGCGUGCGGGAUGACGGCCUUCGGGUUGUGAACCGCUUUCGCCUGUGACGAAGCGUGAGUGACGGUAAUGGGUAAAGAAGCACCGGCUAACUACGUG